AACAGAUCGGAAGCAGAGACCUCCUGCUAACCCACUUUCAUUGGGAAGCCAGAGCCCUGGCCCCUGCCAGGAUCCUUCCCCGUGUCCAUGUGCCCAGCUGUGCUUGGGGAGGUGCUGAGUGGGAGGACGUCUCUGAAGCAAACUCCAGCCAGCUACAAAACCAAAGCGUGAAAGAGGAUCGUAUCCUUGUGAUCUGGAGUCACUCUCAGAGGAGAAGAACUUUCCACAGCCCUUGCCCAUGGAGUGUCUGCAGCAGAGGCAGCCAUACCCACACUGCUGCUGACAGAAGGGCUGAAGAUGGCUGUGUACUGGCUGGUUUUGUGUGUCAACUUGACACAGGCUGGAGUUAUCACAGAGAAAGGAGCUUCAGGAAUAUAAAAUUGGCUGUGUGUAUGUAAGUGUACCACAUGCCCUUGGAGGCCAGAAGAGGAGGUGUAGCUCUCCUGCAGCUGAGUUACAGACCAUAUGGAUGCUGGGAACUAAACCUGGGUCCUCUUCAAGAGCAACCAGGGUUCUUUAAGCCAAGGCCAUUUCUCAAGCCCCUAGAUUGAAAACUUGAGCUAUCAUUCAUUUACUUGAAGAUGCCAAGAGGUGAGCAUAGUCUAAGAGGAAUCACAGCUCAUAGCUGCCCUCACCUGUUGGUCAGAACACUGGAGCAGAAUAAGAACUUGCGGUAUAAGAACUGGUUCUGGUGGAGGUACUGGAAUGAAUGGCCGUCAUCAAGAUACAGCUCUCCCACAGCAGAACCCUGUGGAGCGAAUUACAGAGGAUCUGCUACUGGCAAUAGUUUUACAGAAAAAAAUGUCAUCUUCCAAAGGGAAAGAGUAGCAGCUGAAAAUCCCUGAAAAAAAUCUGAAGAGCUGAGCAUUUGAACUGCACAAAGUUACACAUACGUUCCUGACAUAGUCAAUGUCCAAUCACUCCGGAGUAGACAUGAACAGGGUGGUUACAUAAGAGGGCCACACAGAGUUAGGCUUUGUUGAAGGACAUUGAAAUAUGAAGCAUAGUAAUGACUUCUGUGAUGAUGCUAUCGCAGAACGUGUCAAGAACGUUUACAGAAUGGAAUUGAAGUUGGAAAAAUAUCACAAUAUAAUAGAUGGAGUCAACUGUCUCUAGAUGCCCUUUGUACUCUUUUGCAGCCAAACACUCCAGCCCUCUGCACAGCAGGUUAGUUACUAACGCUGGUGGCUGUAGGCUGGGUCUCUUGACUUCUGCAGUCAUUCUGGGAUCCCACAUGGAUCCUAGAGCGAAGUUUGCCUGAAGAGGACAAGCUUCAAUAAAAAUACAUGGAAAAGAAGAUAUAAUUUACUUAUAACUAAGUAUAACUAUAACAAGAAUAUGUUUUUGGCUCUGUAAGGCAUUGAGGUAAGAGAGAGGUGUGCAACCACAAGCUUGUUCAGAAGACACUCGAAACACUCCCAAGCCAUACUCAGGGGGACUUUAGAUAUUUGAGCUGCCCGACGAGAGUAGAAGUUACUGAAUGGGUUCGGGUAGGCCCCAAAUAGUUAAGACACAUUUUCAAUGGCCCUCUUCGGGAGGAGACUGAGUUUCAGGACUAGUCUAUGGGGUGGACUGCAUAAUAGUUGUUUUCCAGUAGCAAUCCAUGCCAACCUGAGAGGUGGGCAUUGCUUCCCCCAGAAACAUAUUUGCACCAUUCCUGGAUCUCAGAGUUCCUAAGAACAAUGCCAGGAAGGGCAAAUUUCACAGUAAUUCACAAAUGACAGCCCCUGAUUUCCAGAUAAAUAUCAGGAACAUUGUUUCAUAUGAGAUUUAUUACUUUUUCUUACCCUCAAAAGCCUACCAUUGUAAAGAGAUAGAAUAGGAAAAAAGGGACUGGUUUUCCAGAUACCUGAGUGCUUAGGGCAACCCGGAGCUCAUAAGGGGAGUCAGCCAUCCAGCCAGUGGACGUUCCCACAGUGGUCUUUACUGGUACCACACUUCCACCUCGCUGAAACACUGGGAUCUGUAACACAGCAGCACUCUCAGGAAUGACAUGCUAUAUGGACAACUUUUCAAGUGUAUUUCACGAUAUGAGAUCCAUACUCUUUACAGAUAUAAACUCAAGCAAAGAAUAUCUGUGGCAAGAGCAGUGGCAAGCAUGGGGACUGUGAGAUGAAAAGAAAAUGUAUCAACUGAAAAAUGGCCCAUUAAAAAUUAUUUAUUUGGACAUUUCAGCUUGGAAAUUCCAGAGAAUGGUCCUGACCAAAGUCCAUCUCUUGGUCAGUACUUAACAUUUAAUAAAGCUCUCUUUAAGUCUG
rnacentral:lncRNA from 1 species